GGGAGUAGAAAUUAGGCGUGACAAGAGGCAGUGCAACUCGGUGUAAGUUGUAAGUUCUAACUUGUAAGUAAGUGUAAGUUGUAAGUAAGUGUAAGUUGUAAGUAAGUGUAAGUUGUCAACAUGUUCGGCAUUUGUUGUUCCUGGCACACGAUAGCUAGAUGGAUUUUAAUAUCAGUGCUGUGAUUUACAUUGUGUUUGUGUCUGUUUGCGUGCGUGUGUGCUGUAGGUUUUGAAGGAUGUCAAUGAAAAGAAAACUGGAUAUAAGAGACUUCUUUAGGAGUCAAACUAGAAAUUCUGGAAAAACGCUACUGAAAGAUUGCUUUUCGGUCUUCAUCCAUCUUCUGUCAAGGUUUGAGCUGUACUCAGAUGUCAGUGAGUAAAUUUUACAUGUGAAACACACUCUGUAAACUGUUGAAUAUUUAUUGACCGUAAAAUCUAUUUCAAAUCUCUUGUUUGAAGCCAUAAACAUUAAAGCAAUGUUUUUUUUUCCCCAUGUGUUUUUUCCCGACUGUUGACUGCGUGGCAGAGAUAAGCCUCACCUGGCAGCGGCGGUACUCACUGCUUUUGUCUACUCUCCACCCGUCUCAGCGCUGCCAAGAUAAGUGCUUCCUCUCAGGCAGCCGACCAUAAAAUCAACAUUUUACUGCUUCACAGUGAGUACACACAUCAGUUUGAUCAAUGCACACAGGAGGGGGGUGGGCCAGAGACCUCUGGAGUCACAUUCCAGCCUCACAAGAGAUGAGAGCGAGCUUGUGAGAACUCAGAUCAUUGAGCAUCAAUAUCUCUGGUUGAGGUACAAAACCCAAAACCAGUGAAGUUGGCACGUUGAGUAAAUGUCUUGAUAUUUUUAGGCCGUGUCACAAUAUACCCUAUAUAUAUCUCCAUAUUUUGCCUUAGCCUUGAAUGAACAGUUGAUGCAUAUAAUCACAGCAGUAUGAUGAUUCUACGUGUCUACAUUCAAACAUUCUUCUUCAUACUGCAUUAAUAUAUGCUCCUUUUAAACUUUUAAACUAAGUCAAUUGACCUAAUCUUAAGACUGGUCCUCUACUACCCAUUAGUUAGAGGUGGGCACAUUCAAACCAGCAGGUGGUGCCUAGUGAGUUCUCCCUGAGGUUUUCUUUCUAUAUUGUAGCGUCCCGGAGGAGUACGUGUAGCAAGGGGUUCUGGAUAUAUGUUCUGUUGUGUUUAUGUUAUGUUAUGGUGCGGAUGUUCUCCCAAAAUGUGUUUGUCAUUCUUGUUUGGUGUGGGUUCACAGUUUGGCGCAUAUUUGUAACAGUGUUAGAAGUUGUUUAUACGGCCACCCUCAGUGUGACCUGUAUGGAUGUUGACCAAGUAUGCAUUGCAUUCACUUAUGUGUGUGUAAAAGCCGGAUAUAUUAUGUGACUGGGCCGGCAUGCUGUUUGUAUGGAAGAAAGGUGGACAUGAUGACAGGUUGUUGAGGACGCUAAAGGCAGUGCCUUAAACGCCCCCAAUACUGUUGUCUGGGUGGAAAUCGGGAGAAACUCGGUAGAAUGGUUGCCCCGGGAGAUUUCCGGGAGAGGCACUGAAAUUCGGAUGGUUGGCAAGUAUGCGUUAGGACAGGCUUGGUAAUUAUUUUGACUCGGGUGCCAGAUUUAGACAAAAAAAAUGUGUCUGGAGGCCGGUUAUUUAUUUUUAGGAACACUAAUACAAUACCUCAAAAUAAUGUCUGAUUGAAUGCUAAAAACUUUAGGACAGACCGCCUUAAAAAACGUAAUGGAAUUUCACAUUUGUCUAUGAACGAUAAAACACUGAAUAUUGACAAAAUAUGAAUGUCACACCCCCUUUCAAUCGACAUAUUUUACAAUCAAGUGAAACGCAACAAAAAAUGCAACAAACAGUGAAAUAUGAACGCGAAGGGUACAAAAUAAACCCUACAAUCUGAUAUAUCUGUGUGGAGAGGGGCGUGUCCUACGCGUCCCCUGCGGGCGGAGCAUGUGCGGCAGCCGGUCGUGAAGCAGCAAUCAGGUGAGCAGAUACCUCAGCUGGGACGAGUUAUCUAAUCACCUGUUUCCUUUAUCAGCAGCGUUGGAAACCAUGAGCGGGGCUGGCAAACUGGGACUGAGAGCCAGACAGAGGAGCACGCUGUUGAGCGUGAGAGACAGAAGCUGAAAAGCUGAAAAUGAACUCUGAACAUUAUCAACAGUUGUAAAAAGAAUAAAAGAGUGUAAACCACUGA